rnacentral:snRNA from 1 species
AUACUUACCUGGCAGGGGAGAUACCAUGAUCACAAAGGUGGUUUUCCCAGGGUGAGGUUUAUCCGUUGCACUCCGGAUGAGCUGAAAAUAAAAAUAAAUAAAUAAAU